rnacentral:rRNA from 1 species
UACGUAGGGGGCGAGCGUUGUCCGGAUUUAUUGGGCGUAAAGAGCGUGUAGGCGGCCAGGUAGGUCUGCUGUGAAAACUCGAGGCUCAACCUCGAGACGUCGGCGGAAACCAUCUGGCUAGAGUCCGGAAGAGGAGAGUGGAAUUCCUGGUGUAGCGGUGAAAUGCGCAGAUAUCAGGAGGAACACCGGUGGCGAAGGCGGGUCUCUGGCCGAUACUGACGCUGAGGAGCGAAAGCGUGGGGAGCGAACAGG